AUACGGAGGAUCCAAGCGUUAUCCGGAUUUAUUGGGUUUAAAGGGUGCGCAGGCGGUAUUAUAAGUCAGUGGUGAAAUCUGGAGGCUCAACCUCCAAACUGCCAUUGAUACUGUAGUACUCGAGUACAGACGAAGUAGGCGGAAUGUAGCAUGUAGCGGUGAAAUGCUUAGAUAUGCUACAGAACACCGAUCGCGAAGGCAGCUUACUAGACUGUUACUGACGCUAAUGCACGAAAGCGUGGGGAGCGAACAGGAUUAGAAACCCCGGUAGUCC
rnacentral:rRNA from 1 species